AGAAUUUAUAAAGUGCUUUGAAAGCUACAUGGUCCCUGAAAUUUACAAAGGACCCACAGUCAGGGAAGUCUACUGGACAUAUGGGGAAACUGAGGCACCACAGUGGGCAGGGUGGGAGUCCGGGCAUUCCAGGGCCCCCACUUACUGGCAACAUCACCCCAGCAGGCUCCUUAAUCUCCACGUGCCUCAGUUUCCUUAACUGUCAAAGGGGUGAGAGUCACCUCUUUGGGCUGCCGUGAUAGUGAGUGGGGUCCCGCGUUUAUUAUGAUGGGCUGUGGACGGAGGAGAGUUGGGAGGAGGCUGGCGUGGAGAGAGGAGGUGCUUGGGGGCUUCCUGCUCUGGCUUUGUGCUCCAUCCCCUGUGGGACUGAUGAGGAGACUGAGGCCCGAGAGGACCCAUGUUCUGUAAAAUAUCCCUCAAAUCCAGCCUCCUCUCUGCCCACUCCAGCCCCACCCCCACCACCAAGACCUCCCGGGUCUCCCAGCUUCUGCUCCAUCCCCGGGAGCCCAUUGCUUGAAACUCAUGACCCCACACGCAUUAACAUGGAUAUCAGGGUGCCCUGUGGGAGGACAAAUCCCUCUCUUUUUAGUGGGAGAAGCCGGCAGUGGCUUCGGGACUGGACAGGGCAUGAAGCCAGUACUCCCUGGGCACCGGCCCACGUUAAAUGUCUUCAUCCGAGCAUUCAGCAAGGGUUUAUUGAGCACCUGCCCUGUUCUAGCUUCUGUGGACACAGCCGUGCACAAGACACAAGAUUCCCACCUUGGGAGCCACAGUGGGAGAAGGUCGUGGAAAAGACAGAGAAGGUACGUGAUUGGGGGAUAUCAGAUAUUAUCCAAGGUGUCAAGAAACAAGACAGAAGGGAAAGAGGACUCACACGGGCGCGCGUUUAUACACGCGUGUGCAUGUGCGCCUGUUUGUACACGUGUGUGCGUCUGUGCCUGUUUGUACACGCGUGUGCGCGUGCGCCUGUGUUUGUGCACGUGUGUGCGUCUGUGCCUGUGUUUGUACACGCGUGUGCCUGUUUGUACACGCGUGUGCACGUGUGCCUGUGUUUGUACACGUGUGUGCGUCUGUGCCUGUGUUUGUACAUGUUGGGGGUCGAGGGUUGACCCUUUAAACGGGAAUCCAGGGAAGCCUCACGGAGGAGGCAACACUCACGCAGAGGCCUGAGGUGGAGGAGGAGAGAGCCGUGGAAAGAUCCAGAAGAAGCGUAUUCCAGGCAGAGGGCACAGCCGUGCAAAGGCCCCAGGACAGGAUCAUGCCUGGCGUGUUGGAGGAACAGCGAGGAGGCCCGUGUGGCUGAAGCAGAAUGAGGAGGGGGAGAGAGGGUGGAGGGAGGGCAGGAAGGGGACAGGGCAGGUGGUGCAGGUUCCUGUGGGUCCCCGGGAGGACUUGGGCUUUGACCCCAAGGCAGGAGCCGUGGAGCGCUGUGGGCAGGGAAGCGGUGGGACCUGUGCUGGGGGCUGGGUGCUCAGUAAAUACAUGUUGAGUUAAUGAAUGUCGCUUUGGCCGCGUGGGGGAAUCCAAUCCUCCCAGCGCCCCACAGCACAGGUGCUGCCCCCGUCCCCCCCCCCCCCCCCCCC
ensembl:lincRNA